rnacentral:rRNA from 1 species
UACGUAGGUGGCAAGCGUUGUCCGGAAUCAUUGGGCGUAAAGCGCGUGUAGGCGGCUCGGUAAGUCCGCUCUGAAAGCCCGGGGCUCAACCCCGGGAGGCGGGUGGAUACUGCUGAGCUCGAGUCCGGAAGAGGAGUGUGGAAUUCCUGGUGUAGCGGUGACAUGCGCAGAUAUCAGGAGGAACACCAAUGGCGAAGGCAGCACUCUGGGACGGUACUGACGCUGAGACGCGAAAGCGUGGGGAGCAAACAGG